GAUGAACGCUGGCGGCGUGCCUAAUACAUGCAAGUCGAGCGAACAGACGAGGAGCUUGCUCCUCUGACGUUAGCGGCGGACGGGUGAGUCACACGUGGAUAACCUACCUAUAAGACUGGGAUAACUUCGGGAAACCGGAGCUAAUACCGGAUAAUAUAUUGAACCGCAUGGUUCAAUAGUGAAAGACGGUUUUGCUGUCACUUAUAGAUGGAUCCGCGCCGCAUUAGCUAGUUGGUAAGGUAACGGCUUACCAAGGCAACAAUGCGUAGCCGACCUGAGAGGGUGAUCGGCCACACUGGAACAGAGACACGGUCCAGACUCCUACGGGAGGCAGCAGUAGGGAAUCUUCCGCAAUGGGGGAGAGCCUGACGGAGCAACGCCGCGUGAGUGAUGAAGGUCUUCGGAUCGUAAAACUCUGUUAUUAGGGAAGAACAAAUGUGUAAGUAACUAUGCACGUCUUGACGGUACCUAAUCAGAAAGCCACGGCUAACUACGUG
rnacentral:rRNA from 1 species